rnacentral:rRNA from 1 species
GCAAGUCGAGGGGUAACAGGGAAGCUUGCUUCCGCUGACGACCGGCGCACGGGUGCGUAACGCGUAUACAAUCUACCUUUUGCUGUGGGAUAGCCCAGAGAAAUUUGGAUUAAGACCACAUGGUAUUAAGACAUGGCAUCAUGAUUUAAUUAAAGGUUACGGCAAAAGAUGAGUAUGCGUCCCAUUAGCUAGUUGGUGAAGUAACGGUUCACCAAGGCAACGAUGGGUAGGGGUCCUGAGAGGGAGAUC